GACAGCAUAGUGUAGUGGUUUGAGCACUGGACUUUGACUCUAGAGACCAGGGUUCAAUUCCUGGUUCGGCCU